rnacentral:lncRNA from 1 species
GGGCCACACCUGCAGCAUAUGGAGGUUCCCAGGCGAGGGGUCGAAUUGGAACUAUAGCUGCCGGUCUACACCACAGCCGCAGCAAUGCCAGAUCCAAGCCACGUCUGCGACCUCCUUAACCCACUGAGCAAGGCCAGGGAUCAAAUCUGCAUCCUCACGGAGACUCGCUGGGCUCAUCACCGCUGAGCCACAACAGAACUGCCAGUAAUUACAUUUCUACUGACUGGAUGGAGAGACAAGAAGUGGCUGCCUCCCUUCCCACAGUCGGCUGGUGUAACGUUCCCUUUCCUUUCUUCCGCCCACGAGUCCCCGGUGCGUGACUUCCACAGGGACAAUCAUCCCUCAACGGGCAGAGCUUCCUUACGACAGCAGAGGUUUCACUAAAGUACGCAUCACUUAGGGGCACACACAAACCCUGCAGCCCCGGUUUUAAUGGUGUGUCCAGAAUGCACGGGUGUAAGGCAGUGUGAGGCACCCCUUUCCAUUACUCUCUCUUUCCUCCCCGCUGGGUCCAAGCAGUAUUCACACGGGAAACCUCCUCUAUCACGUCAUCGCUUCUUUUCAGCACAGCAUCUCUCCAGCCUAGAACUCCCAGGUUCCGCGCGCUUUUGAGAAGCUCUCUGACAGAGACGGAAAGAGUACAGAUCCUGAAGCCAGGCUCCUGGGGUUCAAAUCCAUCACUCCAACUGUGUGACCUCAGAGAAGUGGCUGCACAUCUCUGUGCCUCAGUUUUACCAUCUGUGAAACGGGGAUCAGAAGAGGACCAAUUUCAUGAGGUUGUGAGGAUGAAAUGAGGGUGUGUCAUGUUUCUCCUGGGGUGGGGGGCAGGCCCACAUCCUGAGAAGCCAUAUUUAACUGUGAGCGGGCAUUCGGGGGGUUCCAACGACCGGAGCGGGGCAUGGGGAACGGUGCUGGGGACAACAGCACACAGGAGUUUGAGAUACGAAUACUGCAACAUGCUGUCCAUGCUUCAGAACCAAGAGCUGCCCCUAAACGUACCCGCUUCACCCUCCUGAGGACGCUGCACCAAAGUGCCUCGAGGAGUUCCCGUCGUGGCUCAGGGGUAACAAACCCAACUAGUGCCCAUGAGGACGUGGGUCCAAUCCCUGGCUUGCUCAGUGGGUUAAGGAUCUGGUGUUGCUGUGAGCUGUGGUGUAGGUCACCGACGUGGCUCGGAUCCCGCGUGGCUGUGGCUGGGGUGUAGGCCAGCAGCUACAGCUCUGAUUCGACCCCUAGCUUGGGCUCUUCUAUAUGCCAUGUGUGCGGCCCUAAAAAGCAGGAAAAAAAAAGAUGACGUGUUUGCUAUCUCCCGCCAUGGAAGCCCCAUAGGAGCAGGAAAGGACAGUGUGUCUUGUUCUGUAUUUCCAAAUCUGCAGCACUUAGGACGGGGCCCAACGCAAGGCAGGUGCUGGAUGAACAAAGGAACGAAUGAAUCAGUGGUAUGUGCUCAAUCGAUGAAAUACAGCGAAUCCAACACACCAACUGCAAUCACAGUCGGCGUUCGCAGCGCAGCUCGGAUCACAGGACAGGGGAGACGGCGGCGGAGCAGCCGCUCUCCCCAGAGGUCCAGUCCCCCCCUCCCUUCAAAGCCCGAGCCCCGGAGCUGGUCGCAUCUUUCACGGGUGAAUACACUGUCUUCUCGGAAAGGCGUCUCUCUUCUCCCCCAGCAGAAGGUGGGGUAGUCGCUUCCUCGCUUCCCUCUCUGCUCCUGGGCACAGGGGUCUGGCCCUAAGCAGGGCUUGGCAGAGCUGAGCACGUUUCUCCCCUUCUCUGCAUGUGUCACCCCGGCACCUUCAUGCCAGAGAGGACACACCUGAUCAAGCAGAGUCCUUGGUAAAUGGAAGCGAAGGGACGAGGGGAGGGACCUUUCGAAUCUUCUGAGCAGAAAGAGAUUGACCAGAAAACGCUCAUCAAACAUUUUCUCAUCCUCAGUGCCUGCUCCUCCUUGAUAACAAAUAGAGUCCUCCCCUCGUGCGUGGAGUUCGGAGACCGGCCAGCCCUUUGAAACCCAUGUCCCUGAGCCUUCGCUAAGCCCCUACUGCAUGCAGUGGCAAGAGCUGGAUCAAACCAGUCUCUAAUACUGGAGGCUCCCGGUCUUUGGGGAGACAGCCAGGUACCAAGUAAGGCCCUGGCCUGAAGGUGCUGGCCAGACAGGCAGGAUGUCGACGAUUUGGGACCAAGCUUCCGACACUCCUUGGAACUUAUGUUUUAGGGGUUGAAUAUUACAUAGGAGCUUACGCUCUUGCCUUUAACUGCAUGUUCUUAUUUGUUUCGGUUUUGGUUUUCCGCAAGGUCUGUUCAGUAGAUGGUAUUGGUCAGCGGGAUGCUGGCCGAGUCUGGCUUUAGAAGGUGGGUUCACCCGGAAGGAAUAGAAGACAGUCCACACCCUCGCAGGGCUGACAUCCCGGCCCACGCCCACGGGGCCUGGCAGGUGCUGCCGAAGUGCCCUGAGGGAGGCCAGCUUUGUGUACGGAUAACAGGGUGCGUGGCAGGAGGGAGGAGGGAAAGGGGGCUGGGGGGGCUCUCUGAUCACGUGCCACGUGAGCCAGGCCGGCAGGAAGCAGGGAGCCAGCAACACAGAUCUCAGGAGAGCGUCAGCGUCGGCCAGCGUGCCAGGAACCCUGGCUCAGGAAGGCCCUGAGCUCUGGUCAAGCGCUGGGAGCGCCCGCACCACCAAAGGAGGCGGGGGGCUUCUUUUCCUGAGCUUGUCCGCUCGGUGGACUUUCAGCCCACAUGACUCCCUCCCACCCUCUCCCGGGUCUGGCAUGUGCCAGCUCACCCUCCCUCCACGCUCACCCAGCUGAGGAGGAGCGCGGGGUGGCUCUGUGCAGUUUUCAAAACUUUCUGCCGAAGAAGCAGCUGUAAGUGGGGAGGUCCAGGGAUACGGCCCAAAGCAACCAAAAUGCCUUUAAUCUCUUAGAUUAUCCUUAAAAGUCAUGCACACAUAAAACUCUGUUCCACGAUCUGUGCACGCCUCUCUCCGUGGGAUGAAAUAUGCCUGCAUUCAAUCCUUCACUGAAAGGUGAGCUAAGUCUCCAUGUGGUGCCCCAGGCCCCUGGCACUCGGCAUGGACCCCGGGGACCUGGGCACCCACAAUUGAGAUGCACAGCGCAGAGGGACCCUGGCCUGGGACAAAGGGACCCUCCCUUGAGCAAAGACAGCGGCUGUUGUGGCUCCUGGUCCCACCUUUCCAGAACGCUCUUGCGUCUGAAGACCCAAGGGGAGGGCAGCCGGAACUAGACCUGGGGCGUGGGGAGGGAAGAAUGUGCUGGACAGAGGCUCCCUCACUCCACCGAGGGAAGCACAACACACUCCCCCCAAGAAGGGGGAUACGGCAACCGUGUCACGUGCCCCCUAGCUGGGCAUCAAAACCGCCAGGAGCUUCCGGGAGACCUGAUAACUAGCACAGUGCUUGGCACAUCCUAGUCCGCGGUCUGUUUGCUGACUAGAUGGAUGCACGGGUGAGCGAGUGACUGAACGGCACAGUCACAGAGAACUAGUGGCUGCCUCCAGCUUCGAUGCGGCUAAUCCCUUCUGGCCCUAAACGGCAUAUCUGAAGUGGCCACACCACCGCUGCUGUCCCCGCUCUAAGCAAGUAAUUCGAUGUCCCACCUGCCAGCCCCAUGGUUUCUCUCUGUGGCUAACGCAGUAAAAAGAGCCAUAGAUUAUAAACCACUAACUGUAUUUAGACAAAAAUUAUCUGUCAUACAAACAACCAUAAUAACAGUACCAAAUGCCUGGGCCUCCGCUAAUCCCCUCACACCCGUCAUCCGUUUACUUCUCACGACAGCUUUGCAUCGACCCCAUUUUCGGAUUAGAAGCCAGGGGCUUUGCAAGGUGACAUAUUCGCCGAGGAAACAGGGCCUGGGGCUGGCGCUGAAGUCCUCCGCUUGCCUGGGGGAGGCAGGGCACACGGACGGGCUCCCUUCUCCCUCCAACCUCCCGGCCACCCUCCCCCUGAUGAGAACUCCAAGGGACUCGGUGUCAUUUAAGUCCACGAACACAGGGCACAGAACCUUCUGUCCAGAGAGGCUACGCAUGGAGGUGGCAGGUCUCGGUGGGGCUGAGGUGGCUCCUGACUCAGAGCACCUGUGUCUAGGCUGCUGUAACCCUCGGGGGGCCUGGUGUGGGAGGCCACUUCCCAUGGGGGUGGUGGCCCUGGGCUGCGCCCACCAGCCAGGUCUGGAGUGGAUGCUGUCUGCGUUCGGCCCAUCCCACGAGGCCCCCUUGUCACCUCCUCGCAUGCCAGCCCGACCUCCGCAGCCACCUCGGCACCUCUGCCCUGGAACCCACUUUCCUGCUGCACAGAGAGCUGGAAGGGCCUGGGCGUCACUGUGCGCCCACCUGGGGGGUGGGGGCCGCCUCUCACUCAUGUCUGAUGGAUACAGGAUAUAAACACCCUGGCUUAUCUGCAGCUACGAGGAUGGACCUAGAGCUUAUCAUUCUGAGUGACGUAAAUUAGUCAGAGAAAGAUAAACAUCACACCUCAUCACUUCUACGUAGAGUCUUAAAAAUGAAUUUAUUUACAAAGCAGAAAUAGCUUCAGAGAUUUGAAAACAAACGUAAGGUUGCCAAAGCGGACCAGUCGGGGGAGGGACCGACUGGGGUCUGGGGCUGGAACACGCACACUCCUGUAGGUGCAACGCGUGGUCACCGGGGGCCUGCCGUAGGGCGCAGGGGACGCUACCCAAUAGUCCGUGACAACCUCCAAGGGAAAAGAAUCUGAAGAAGAACGGACAUGUGUAUACGGAUAACUGACUCACUUUGUUUGACACCUGAAACGAACGCAGCCCUGUGAAUCAACUCUGCUUUUAAAAACGCGGAAGAACACCCUGGCUUUCCUCACGGACACUCCGAACGUCGGGCAGGGCCAGCAUGUGACCUGGCGCAACGGCACCACCAUGGGCAGGGCAGCCGUGGGCCGGGGAGCGUGCCAACACGAACCGCCCCGCGACCCCAGAAAGCGGACCCGCUGGCUCCCAUUCCACAGAUAAGGAGACUGAGCACCACAAGGACGUGAGCUCGGGCCUGCCCGAUUCAAAGGCCAAACUCUCGCUGCUGAAGAAGGGAAGGGGUAGGAUGAGCAGUGCACUGCGCGGUGCAGACCCGAGCGUUAGCAGCAGCAGAGGGGCUGGGCGAGGGGGAAAGAUGGGGAGAGCUCCCCCGCGGCUCCUGAGCUGCCAGCCCUGCUCAUGUGAACCAGGGCCAACGAUGGGGGGGGGGGACCCUGGGCCCACAAGCCAUUUGAUCCCAGGGACACUUGGGACCAGUGGGGACCUAGAGGGCGCUGCACAGGGCACCCCCGCCCCUGGGCCUGAUCCCACCAGCUUCCACCAGGCACCCAUGUUGGUGUCAGUCGCCCAGACCACCGAGGCCUCUGGCAACUCCCACCCACAUUUCUGGCAGAGGGAUGAGAAAUGGAGAAGGAAUCGGUUUUUUUUUUUCUUUUCCUUUUCUUUUUUUUUUUUUAGGGCUGCACCCGUGGCAUACGGAGGUUCCCAAGUUAGGGGUCGAAUCAGAGCUGCAGCC